GUACGUAGGGCGCGAGCGUUGUCCGGAUUUACUGGGCGUAAAGAGCGCGCAGGCGGUCGUUCAAGUCGCGUGUGAAAGCCUCCGGCUCAACUGGGGAGGGUCACGCGAUACUGAUCGACUCGAAGGCAGGAGAGGGUAGUGGAAUUCCCGGUGUAGUGGUGAAAUGCGUAGAUAUCAGGAGGAACACCUGUGGCGAAAGCGGCUCACUGGACCACAACUGACGCUGAGGCGCGAAAGCUAGGGGAGCAAACAGG
rnacentral:rRNA from 1 species